rnacentral:rRNA from 1 species
UACGUAGGGUGCAAGCGUUUGUCCGGAAUUAUUGGGCGUAAAGAGCUCGUAGGCGGUUUGUUGCGUCGGCUGUGAAAUCCCGAGGCUCAACCUCGGGUCUGCGAUCGAUACGGGGCAGGCUCGAGUUCGGUAGGGGAGACUGGAAUUCCUGGUGAGCGGUGAAAUGCGCAGAUAUCAGGAGGAACACCGGUGGCGAAGGCGGGUCUCUGGGCCGAUACUGACGCUGAGGAGCGAAAGCGUGGGGAGCGAACAGG